UACGAAGGGGGCUAGCGUUGCUCGGAAUGACUGGGCGUAAAGGGCGCGUAGGCGGAUGGCACAGUCAGAUGUGAAAUUCCCGGGCUUAACCUGGGGGCUGCAUUUGAUACGUGUGAUCUAGAGUGAGGAAGAGGGUCGUGGAAUUCCCAGUGUAGAGGUGAAAUUCGUAGAUAUUGGGAAGAACACCAGUGGCGAAGGCGGCCCGCUGGGCAGUGGCUGACGCUGAGGCGCGACAGCGUGGGGAGCAAACAGG
rnacentral:rRNA from 1 species